rnacentral:rRNA from 1 species
UACGGAGGGUCCAAGCGUUAUCCGGAAUCAUUGGGUUUAAAGGGUCCGUAGGCGGUUUUGUAAGUCAGUGGUGAAAGCCCAUCGCUCAACGGUGGAACGGCCAUUGAUACUGCAAGACUUGAAUUAUUAGGAAGUAACUAGAAUGUGUAGUGUAGCGGUGAAAUGCUUAGAGAUUACAUGGAAUACCAAUUGCGAAGGCAGGUUACUACUAAUGGAUUGACGCUGAUGGACGAAAGCGUGGGGAGCGAACAGG